AUGGGAAAUGCCGCCUCCUUACUAAAAAGGAAUAGAAUCAAGUUAUUUUUACCAAAGAAGUCCCGCUCUGACGGCCCGACGAGUCAUCUACUAAAAAGGACCCUCCCCGUUGUGCGCCCCUCCUUGAAUUAUUCGGUCAUGCAAUACUUUUUUAAUACUAAGAAUAAAAUGCAUUUCGACCCCGUCCUAGUUCUCAAUCAUUUCGUGGCACCGGGUGUGGCUGAACCAUCUACGAUGGGGGGAGCGAAGGCAGGAAGCUUAGAUAAGAGAAUACGCUCUCGCAUCGCUUUUCUUAGAAAGCUCUACCAGCGAGAAAAAGUGUUUGGCCCGAGCCAAAAAGAGGUUGAUCCUCUUCAUUCGCCAAGAGAAUGA
rnacentral:rRNA from 1 species